GGGGUGGUGGAAUCGCACAGGAUCCACCGCAGGGAGUGGAGCAGAAUCAUGGCCGUUAAUACAGCCUGUCAGGGAGUAAUGGGGUCGCGUAGGGUCCGUCGCAGGGAGUGGAGCAGAAUCAUGGCCGUUAAUACAGCCUGUCAGGGAGUAAUGGGGUCGCGUAGGGUCCGCCGCAGGGAGUGGAGCAGUGUUGUCCGUUAUUGUGGCCUGCCUGGAAGUGCAGAUC
rnacentral:lncRNA from 1 species